rnacentral:rRNA from 1 species
GCCCAGACUCCUACGGGAGGCAGCAGUGGGGAAUAUUGCACAAUGGGGGAAACCCUGAUGCAGCGACGCCGCGUGAGCGAUGAAGUAUUUCGGUAUGUAAAGCUCUAUCAGCAGGGAAGAAAAUGACGGUACCUGACUAAGAAGCCCCGGCUAACUACGUGCCAGCAGCCGCGGUAAUACGUAGGGGGCAAGCGUUAUCCGGAUUUACUGGGUGUAAAGGGAGCGUAGACGGUAUGGCAAGUCUGAAGUGAAAGCCCCGGGCUCAACCUGGGAACUGCUUUGGAAACUGUUAAACUAGAGUGCUGGAGAGGCAGGCGGAAUUCCUAGUGUAGCGGUGAAAUGCGUAGAUAUUAGGAAGAACACCAGUGGCGAAGGCGGCUUGCUGGACAGUAACUGACGUUGAGGCUCGAAAGCGUGGGGAGCAAACAGGAUUAGAUACCCGCGUA